AUCUAAGUGGCACAAUGGAUAGAGCACCAGUCCUGAAAUCAGGAGGACCUGAGUUCAAAUCUGACCUUAGACA
rnacentral:tRNA from 1 species